CGCCAUUAUCUUGGCGUCGAUAAAUUGACUUCCGACCGGUGACUUUGAAUGUCCUGAGGCAGUACCAGGACCUUCUUACCAAGGCAUCACAGUGGUGACAAGGGCACCAUGCUCAGGUUUCUGCGGUGGGCUAUGGACUUCUUUCAGUGGAGGGCGGAUCCCGUCCAGGAGCAACACCCACAGCAGGGAGCGCUCUUGCAAGGUUUUACCAAUUUGAAAACUAAACGAGGAGUGUUGACCAACAUCUAUAGUAAUUAUGGCUUAAUUAAUAAGUCAAUCUACUUCACUUAUGAUGUUGUCACUAGUG